AUUGAACGCUGGCGGCAGGCUUAACACAUGCAAGUCGAGCGGGGUGAUGGUGCUUGCACUAUCACUUAGCGGCGGACGGGUGCGUAAUGCUUAGGAAUCUGCCUAUUAGUGGGGGACAACAUCUCGAAAGGGAUGCUAAUACCGCAUACGUCCUAAGGGAGAAAGCAGGGGAUCACUUGUGACCUUGCGCUAAUAGAUGAGCCUAAGUCGGAUUAGCUAGGUGGUGGGGUAAAGGCCUACCAAGGCGACGAUCUGUAGCGGGUCUGAGAGGAUGAUCCGCCACACUGGGACUGAGACACGGCCCAGACUCCUACGGGAGGCAGCAGUGGGGAAUAUUGGACAAUGGGGGGAACCCUGAUCCAGCCAUGCCGCGUGUGUGAAGAAGGCCUUAUGGUUGUAAAGCACUUUAAGCGAGGAGGAGGCUCUUUUGGUUAAUACCCAAGAUGAGUGGACGUUACUCGCAGAAUAAGCACCGGCUAACUCUGUGCCAGCCGCCGCCGUAA
rnacentral:rRNA from 1 species